CUUUUUAAGCUUUAUGAUUGGAAAUGUAACCUGGUAUGACUACAGCAAAGAACACUGAUUUGCAUGAGACUUUGAGUAUUAAUGACAUUGAGCACCACCUGAAUACAAGUUGCUCAGCAGAAAUCUCUGAAAAAAGACGACAAAGUCAUUUUAUAAGACUGAGACUACUACUCCCACAGUUUCAACUACCAGAAGUACUCCUCUGUGUGUUAGUACCUUUUCUGACAGAUUCAUGGACCUUACUUGGUUUGGCAGUCAUAGGUGUGAAAAUGACUAUGAAAGAGAAUCCAUAAAACCCUAACAAUUCUUACCUCUGACAGGAUAUUAUAAAAUGAGCACUUUUGUGUCCAAGUAGUACAGUUGGUGAAUGAUGAUGUGCUACUGAGUCCAGACUAUUGUUAUUUUUAAAUUAAAUAACAACAGAAUGCAUACUGAGUCAGGAAUCCGUCUUUAAUUUUGCCCUUCUUGAAACAUCCAGACAUUGCUUCCUUGUUUAUAAAUAUGAAGUAUGCAAUAUAUUUUUUCCAUUAAUAUGUUGACACCUGUAUUUCCUUGGCCACUACAUCUUGCUUUAGGAAGGUGUAUUAAGCUCUGUACUCCAAGAAGAAGGAAACAAAGAGAUCUUUCCUUCAUCAUUUUUCCUUCUUAUUAGAAAAAGCAUAGAACAGACAUUUAGUUUAAGAUUUCAGGUUCACAACAAUACGAAGAUGCUGACAAGAAGUGUCUGAGUGCUUCAGUGCCAAGGCUUGCUUAAGUACAGCACAGAGAUGUUGUAGUGUUUAUAAAAUAUAUUCUCAAUACUGCAGAACUCCGACGGUCAGAGCAUGAAAAACCAUCUGGAAAUAAAAGGAAGGAAGCAAUAUUGUGCUGAGAAUCUAAUAGGGCCUAUUCUCUUUUGUGAGAAAGUUGCUGAAUGAGUGACCAUGUGCUGAACAGUAGACAAUGCCUAAAUAAGUAAGGCCAGCUUCUUAAUAAUGAUAGUCAAGGUUGAUGUUUUUAAAGUGCAAACUGUUAGUCAUGGAAGUAUGGGGCCUAAUCUUAUAGUCUUUCUCACAAGGAAACUUUUCUUUGCUGCACUAACAGUGCUCAUGAGAGUAAAUGUACUGAGACCAAAUUUUGCUCUCACACUGACUUUGUGCACGGAAGUUUUAUCACCGCUGACUGGCUAACAUUGGAUUUUGCUUCAGCAGUAGCUGUGGAGGAUGCUGGAGUUCAGUCAUAUUGGUGUCUGCUUUUGAAAAAGGGAGCAGUAGGAGAAAGGGAGUCCUGUUGCCUAAAAAGCAGAAACAUCCGCUGGAGUUAUUAACAGGUUUUUGGCUGAGGUCAGCAGUAGGGCACCUUGUUGUUGAUAGACUCUUCCCCCAGCAAUUCAAAACGAUGUAGUUAAAGCAAAUUUCUCAUUUCCCAAGAAGCAACUUAAUGAGGCAAAAACUACUUUUGAAAAUGGGGUACAUAUGCCACUACUUACCAGUGGUAGUAAUCCUCAGGCUUACUUGCAGCUGCUUGGCUAACCGGGAUUUUUACAGCUCCAGUUACAUUGUUUGUAUUGUUUCCAUAAGUGAUCCAUUCAUAGAUGCUGACAAAUCUUUCAAAUGGCUCAUUUCACCUUCUUCAGCCACCAGGGAGUUACUUGGCCUUAAAAGCACAGUUUCUUGAGAAGCUCUGGAAGCAAAUUCAAAGCUGACCAGAACCCAGAUGUUCCUAUUUUCACUGAUUGUUUAAGGUUUCCCUCCCACAGAGUGAUUUAAAUUGAGCUGGCAAACUGUGUAGAUGAAAACAGGCAGACUUUAAUCUUAUUUACAUUGUUUAUGACAGAUUGGGUGGUGCUUGGAGGAAAGUGCAUGUAUGAACAAGCUCUAAGGUAAAAUACUGGCAAGUCUGCAAGUGCUAAAAAUUGGGCAUGCAUCAUGCUGAAGUGCUUCCUCAACAGAAAAAAACAAUCCUUGUAGAUGCUCAUCUCAGAGAUGUUACACAAGAUGUCUAAUGUUUUUGAAAGAAGUGAUACAGGUGCCGGACUUGUUACGCUUUCUCUACAGAUUAGCCUGUACUCAGUGAAAAUUAUAUAAAAUGUGCUAAUAUGCACUUUCAAUAGGGAAAAUAUGUUUGUUAGGUUGGGUUAAUUGAAAUGUCUUAGCUGAAACCCACCCAUUUCUCCUUCCUGGAAGUACUUCACCACUGCUGGGAUGAUUUUUUCCACAGAUUUACAAGAGGCUCUUUUUCUUGUAAUGUUGAAAAGUGAGAAUUUGCUUCAUGUACUGUUCAACUUUUUCUGUUGCAAACUUUGCUUAUAGAAAGUAUAUCCAACUUAAAAUGUCUCUCUGAUCAUGUGACAUAGUAUAACUCUGUGUGGUACACCUUGUUUUGUAUGCUCAGCAGGUAUUUCAUUAACUUUUGCAAAUGUUCAACCAUAAUAUUAAUUUUGUUCUGUAAUAAAAUUUCACUCACAGAUUGAGAUAAAUAUGAUAUUAACUAGCAUUCUUGUCCUUUCCCUUUAAUUUUUAUGAAAUAAACAAGUAUUGCCCUUGUUUUGCAGGUAGGCAGUCAGGACAGAAUAGCUUAGUUUCUUAACGUGGAAGAGUUUAGGCACCUAGAAACUAAACGAAAGCAUGCAAUCCAUGAGUGUAACAGAAUCACAGUUGCUGAGGCUGGUGGACACUUCUAGCAGAGGCAGAUUCAGAAGAUUGCUCAGGGCUGUGUCUGGUUGGUUUUUAAUAUCUCCAAGAAUGGAGACUACGCAUCAUCUCUGGACAACCUGUUCCAGUACUUGAUCACACUCACAGUAAAAUUUGUUUUUUUCUCAUGGUUACAAGGAAUGUCUUCUUAUUUUGGUUUACACCCACUUCCUCUUCUCCCUUCACUGGAUAUUACUGAGAAGAGUGUGACUCCAUCUUUAUUCUCUCCCAUUGGGUGUUUAUGCACAUUUAUAAAUCUCCGCUGAGCCUUCUCUUCUCAAGGUAGAAGGUCCUAGCUUUCUCAGCCUGUCUUUCUAUGAGAGGUACUCCAGUCCCUUCAUCACAUUUGUGGCCUGUCAUUGGACUCACUCCAGGAUGUUCGUAGUGGCCUAGGCCUGGACCCAGCAUCUGCAUGUGUGUUACCAGUGCUGAGCAGAAAAGAAGGUUCAUCUCCCUUGACCUGUUGGCAAUGUCUUCGUAAUGCAACCCAGGAUACCAUUGGCCUUUUUUUCCCACAAGGGCACAUUGCUGACUCAUGGUUAAUUCGUUGUCCACCAGGACCUCCAGCACAUUUUCUAAUGAGCUGCUCUCCAGCUGUUCAGCCUCUUGUGUGUGGCCCCCCUGUGUGAUGGACUCGUGUAUGUCCAGUUUGUACAUAGAUUUAUCCAAGCGCAUAGGCACCAGAGUUCUUGUCAUAAGGUAUUCGAGGUACCUGUCCAUGCCUAGGGUGCAGCUGGCUUGGCAGGUCUGAGCACUCUGCCUUCCAGGUCACGCCUGAGCCUGUUCAGAGGUUCUUCGUUAAGUGAUGCUGGGCCUACAACUCCAAAGGGAUCCAGUGCUGUGACUGUAUUCAUAUGCACCUGAAUGUAUACUGCUGUCAAUGAAUCAUCCCAAAAGAGA